rnacentral:rRNA from 1 species
UACGGGGGGGGCUAGCGUUGCUCGGAAUCACUGGGCGUAAAGCGCACGUAGGCGGAUUGCUAAGUCAGGGGUGAAAUCCUGGAGCUCAACUCCAGAACUGCCUUUGAUACUGGCGAUCUUGAGUCCGGGAGAGGUGAGUGGAACUGCGAGUGUAGAGGUGAAAUUCGUAGAUAUUCGCAAGAACACCAGUGGCGAAGGCGGCUCACUGGCCCGGUACUGACGCUGAGGUGCGAAAGCGUGGGGAGCAAACAGGG